UACGCAGGGUUCGAGCGUUAAUCGGAAUUACUGGGCGUAAAGCGAGCGCAGGCGGUUUGGUAAGGCAGAUGUGAAAUUCUCGGGCUUAACCUGGGAACUGCAUUUGUGACUGCCAGGCUAGAGUGCGGCAGAGGGGAGUGGAAUUCCGCGUGUAGCAGUGAAAUGCGUAGAUAUGCGGAGGAACACCGAUGGCGAAGGCAACUCCCUGGGCCUGCUCUGACGCUCAUGCACGAAAGCGUGGGGAGCAAACAGG
rnacentral:rRNA from 1 species